rnacentral:lncRNA from 1 species
CACGACCAAAAUUUGACAGAAUCUUCGUCUCAACAUUUCGAACAACUUUCUAGAAGAAAUCGAAGCUCAAUUCUAAGCCUAAACAGGUCAAUCGACUCAAAAUAUAAAAAUCCCCAAUUUUAAACCCUAAAAACUUCAAAUCUUCGAUUCUCUUCACACACACCGAAUCGAGCUACCAAAUUCUAGGGGAAUGUAGUACUAAUCAAACUCAACUUAUCCAUAUAUAGAACUCACCAAAUGGUGACCUAAGGAAGGAGAAAUUUGAUCGACACCGAAUCCGAACCGGCGGAGUUUUGGAGCUCGAUUUAUCCCUCAUGGCGGCGCCACUCGAUAAACCACCUAUCCAGCAAUGAAGUAGAGACGACGGCGAAGCUUUUGGGACUAGUGUGACGGUCUCCGGUGGCUUGACGGCGGAGCUAGGCCGAGAAGAAAAUCUGGCAGAUAAUAGACUUCUUACCAUCCAUCUUCGCCUAUAUAAAGAACUUUAGCCGACGAAAUUCUUUAUUUUCGUCGGCUAAACUCUUUUGAAAAUUUUGGUUGACCGCCAAAAAAUUUUGGUUGAAAAUUUUGAAAAUUUUGAAAAUUUUUCGACUUUAGCCGACGACUUUUCAUAUAUUUUCGUCGGCUAAAGUCCUUUGAAAAUUUUCCUCCAACUUUGGUUUACCGCCUAAAAAAUUUUGAAAUUUUUUGACCUUAGCCGACGACUUUUCAUAUAUUUUCGUCGGCUAAAGUCUAUAAAUUCACGAAAACGCUCAUAUCUCCCCCUAUAUUACGUAAUUUGGUCAAACCUUCCACACCAAAAACUCUCACAUAGAUGAGACGCAACUGCCCAUAUAAAAAUUUUGAGACAUUUACCUUCCGACGAUAGGGCUCCUCAUAAGGAAUAAUAACGGUAAAUAGGGUUGACCGCUACUAUCGGCUCCGAGACUUUACCCGAUUUACGUGAUUUUUGAACCAUAGCCUUAUUUCACCAUUUUGAACAUAUCUUAUUUCACGAGAUUUUU